rnacentral:lncRNA from 1 species
AAAAAUGUGACUUUCUGACCCCUAGUUCUGGAAAUGCUACCUAGUGUUCUGCCUUGGUCUUCUGCCACUGUGAAUUGUUAGCCACGAGAAGGUGCUGGAUGUCCCUGCAUAGCCUGAACGUGCUCCCCAGGAGACUAGAGCCCUUGCCUACCAUUGCAGUGAAUUCCUCAAGGGACUGGGAAGGAAGGGAAACAGGUGAAUAUUUCUUCAAUGUCAACUCAAGCAAAAUUGGGAGCAAGUGAUACACACCCAUUUAAAAACCAAGCUGAGAAUGGAGUUUUACCUCUUCCCAAAAUAUCAAACAGAGGAAAUUAGAAAGGAGACUCUUCUGACAGAACUUACCCCUGAGAGUGAUGUCGAUGAGCUACAGGAGAAGCUGGCAGCUUUCCCCACAGAGUUGGACACACACAGGCUCAGGACUCAGAAGUGAAGAAAGAUUCCGUGGGGUUGGAAGAGCUGCAGGCCUGGAUGAAGUCCCCAGAAACAAGUGACCGUGGAAACAUCCUGCUGAGAUGGAGAAACUGUGACUCGCUCUGUCUGCAUCCCUGAGCUUUCACCUGGAAAAGGCACUGACCUUGUGUGUCGAAGUCUGCAGACUUUCAUUUUGGAGAUAUAUUUCACUCUGAAUAGUGAAUCAGAGUGGGGUGAAACAUCUGGCUUAUAAAAUGUUUCAAACCUCAAACCACUUUAGAUACUUGGAAAUCAUCUUCUCCACACAUUUAUUAUAAAACAGGAAGAGACCCAGAAAAAAUGCCACUCUGUUUUGAAGAUGGAAAAAUACCAGCUGUGGCUGCUGUCCAGGGGAGAACCCUGCUCCAAGUGCUCAACAUUGGCUGCUGUAGUUCAUGGAAUAUUUAAUUGUCUGCUGAAAAAUGAAUUGCAAUUAGCAUUAACCAGCUUUUAAAUAUUUGCUUGCAUUACAGUUUUUCCUUUUUAUUUUGAUGAAAAAGAAAAAAAAUUAGAAUGCUAAAGAAUACAGAAGGCUUGGUUUAUUUGAGAGUAAUACAGACAUGUUGUCCAGAACCAUGCUAGUUGCUUUAUUUUCUCUAAUUUUUCAGACUAAUGCCAUGGGAGAUACCCUCUCCAUUAUAUUAAAUAGAAAACUGAAACUCAGGCAGAUAAAAUAAUAAAUCCAAGUCCCCAUUGAAAGUAAGAAUUGAAAACCAAGACUAUCUAUGGCAAAAUGUGAUCUUCUCAACACUUACAGUGUCUUUAUAUCUUUGACUUCUCUUUUUCUGUCUCUCUUUAUAGAUUUAUAACCUAUUUCUCCAUCCAUCCAUCCAUCCAUCCAUCCAUCCAUCCAUCCAUCCAUCCAUCCAUUUAUCCAUCCAUCCAUCCAUCCAUCCAUCCAUCCAUCCAUCCAUCCAUUUAUCCAUCCAUCCAUUUUUCCAUCCAUCCAUCCAUCCAUCCAUCUAUCCAUCCAUCCACCCAUACAUCCAUCCAUCCAUCCAUCCAACUAUCCAUCCAUCCCAUUGCAUGUUGUUUCCUAUCUACAUUCCUAACUCUGCCUAUCAUACAAUUAUUUGGCAUUAUCCUUUAAUUGGCAAUAGGGUUGCCAGCAGGUGUCCUGAAAUUUUCCUAUGCCAAAAGUUCUAUUCUGUAAAGAGUAAUAGACUUUUAAGGUGAGAAGGUUAUUUUGAAGACUGAUAAAUAUCUUUUCUGUUGUAUGUGAGGAAAUUUAGGCCCAGGGAAAUUAAGCAACUUAUUUACACUGGCAUAUUAAGUUAUUGGCAGAGAUUAAAUAUAAUUAAGUCUUUUGACUCAUAAUUUAUUUUUCCACCUGGAACUUUAGGUUAAAGGCUACUAGUUAAAUAUUGAAUAAGCUCAAAUAUAACAUUUCCAGGUAACCAAAAAAGGGAGAAAAAAUCUAUUCAUAGAGUCGAUUUGUUUUAUAAGUUAAUGCAAGGAUUUUAAAAAUCACAUGGACUUACAAAUUCCAGGAUAAAUACCUUCCUUUCUAGAGACUGACACUGCUGUGUAGAACACAAGGCAGCAUUUCUGAAUGAAAUUGGCCUAUUUAUAAGGUUUGCCUCCAGUAGAUUCUGCUAAACCUAUGGUGUCAGCCAGAUGCAGUGACUCAUGCCUAUAAUCCCAG